UACGUAGGGGCCUAGCGUUGUCCGGAUUUAUUGGGCGUAAAGAGCUCGUAGGCGGUUUGGUGAGUCGGGUGUGAAAUCUCCACGCUCAACGUGGAGGGGCCACCCGAUACUGCCAUGACUAGAGUCCGGUAGGGGAGUGUGGAAUUCCCGGUGUAGCGGUGAAAUGCGCAGAUAUCAGGAAGAACACCCGUGGCGAAGGCGGUUCUCUGGGACGGUACUGACGCUGAGACGCGAAAGCGUGGGGAGCGAACAGG
rnacentral:rRNA from 1 species